ensembl:lncRNA
CUGGUUUUGUUUAUUACAAUAUGAGAAGAUUUCCACUAGAGAGGGACCCAGAAAAGGAGCAGAGACCACUUAAGCAUGAAGUGUUUUCAAGUGGGAGCUGGUGUUUUAUUGCUGGACCACCUAGAGGACAUGAGGUUGUUGUCGGAUUUGCUGAGUCAGGGGGCGGCUAGAGAGGGUCAGAGCGAAGGUAGUGGACCUGGGAAUGGUGUAGUGACGUCUUUGGAAGACGUCAAGAGAGGGAAUUGUGGAAUUACAGGGAUUAUUUUACAUAACCAUCAUCUUAUCAUUGCAGUAAUUAUCAUUUCAUCAAAGUGUUUAUUGAAGCUGCUGGCAUUAUGUUAUAAUUUAUAUUAUAGGGGUUAUCAUAAUCAAAUAUUAACAUGUUUAUUACAGGUGCAGUUAUAACUACUUUAAAAUGAUUGAGUUAAAUAUAUAUGUAUCAUAACUCAUAUGCUGAGUAUAUUGUUACAGUAAAAUAGUAGCUGAGCAAAGGCCUGAAUGUAUUCAGCUUCUUGUGGUAUUUGAGUUUGCUUAGUUACAGGUGACGUAAGGAUGUCCAGCCCAUGGUGACCUCAAAGGCCUUAGGUCAUCACCAUAUUCGGAAGAGUAUGCCACAAGGAGGAACCUCUAUGUUGCAUUUAAUUCUUAAAAUACAUGAAUGUUCUGUACAUGCAAAUUAUGUGUUUGUAAGCGCAAGAAGGG